rnacentral:rRNA from 1 species
UUGUACCUACGGGGGGCAGCAGUGGGGAAUAUUGCACAAUGGGGGAAACCCUGAUGCAGCGACGCCGCGUGAGCGAAGAAGUAUUUCGGUAUGUAAAGCUCUAUCAGCAGGGAAGAAAAAUGACGGUACCUGAGUAAGAAGCACCGGCUAAAUACGUGCCAGCAGCCGCGGUAAUACGUAUGGGGCAAGCGUUAUCCGGAAUUACUGGGUGUAAAGGGAGCGUAGACGGCAAUGCAAGUCCGGAGUGGAAUGCGGCAGCUCAACUGCCGAACUGCGCUGGAAACUGUAUGGCUUGAGGGCGGGAG